rnacentral:lncRNA from 1 species
UCUGCCACAACAUCGCUAUUAAUUAGCUUUGAUAACUCCCGUUGUAUAGUUAAUUAACUGUGACAGACAGUACUUGCUACCAUGACAUGUGGUGUAUGGGUUAGAAACUUAAGCUCAAAGCCAUUGAUUUCUACUACUUUGUUCUUAAUUAUAAGUAUUCUUUAGGGAAAUUUUUUGUCUCUAACUAUUAGCAACAUUUUAAUUUAUGAAGUGUAUUUAUUAAUUUUUGUCGUACAUAUCAUUUGUUAAUACUAUUAAUUUUUUUUUAAUAUGAAAAAUAUUUAAAUAUAAAAAUUAUUUUAAGAAUAUUAAUAUAUAAAAUAUAUACAUUAACUACAUUAUAAACUUUUUUUAAUAAGAGUAAAAAAACGAGUAUUUAAAAAAGGGACAGAGGUAAUAUUGUAUAAAACAAAAAUAUUAUUUUUGACCUAGAUUUUGUGACAAAUACGACAUUGUAUACUUUUGUGUAUAAUGAAUAAAAAAUAAUUAAUUAAUUUAAUACUUAAUUAAUGAAAAUAAAAAUAUGAUUUUAUCUUCUCCCUCUUUUCUAUGUGAUACCCUCACCAUUAAAAACCCUCUCAUGUCUCUAAGAACGCUCAUGACGCCUCAUAACCUCUUACUUCUCUUUUCUCUCUGCGGUGGUGACAAUUGGAUAUUCGUUGCUAACACACCACUGCUCUUUGUGUUGACCGACCUCUCUUUAUCAUCGUUCGUCUCUCUCUCAACUCUUUCUUUUGGCUCUGAUUGUCUCUCUUUGCACAAAUGACAUCACUCUCUAUGUGUCUCCUUCUAUCCCUCUUGCAUCACUAAUUAAGGUGAGUAUUUUUUUUUGUUAUUUAGGGUAAUGUUUGUAAUUGAUUUCAAUUUUAGGGUUUAGGUGGAAUUGGUUUAAUGUUUAUGGAAUGCGUUUUAUUUAAAUUUUAUGGAAUGUGUUUAAAAUGUGUUUGAUUUAAAGUUGAUGGAAUUGAUUUAGAGCAUUUUGUUUGUUUGAAAUGUGUAUCAUUCAUAGUUAGAGAUAGAAUAGAAUAGUUAAACUCAACUUAACAAUUCCAAGUAUGUAAACAUUCUAUGUAUGUAAAUCUCCAAAAUUUUAUUGUAAAAUUAAUCUGAUUAGGUGAUUGUAAAUCAAUUGUAAAAUUUGGACACAUUUCAUAUUGUAAAGAGGUGAUUGUAAAAUCUGAACGGGUGAUUAUCAUAUUUGAUUAGGCGAUGUCAAACAAUUGUAACUGAUUCAAACUUAC